CAGUAGCCACGGGAAUACGGGGGGGGCAAGUGUUAUUCGGAAUGACUGGGCGUAAAGGGCACGUAGGCGGUGAAAAGGGUGGAAAGUGAAAGUCGCCAAAACACUGGCGGGGUGCUUUCUUGACCAUUUCACUUGAGUGAGAUAGGGGAGAGUGGAAUUUCGUGUGGAGGGAUCAAAUCCUAAGAUAUACGAAGGAACGCCAACCGCGAAGGCAGCUCUCUGGGUCCCCACUGACGCUGGGGUGCGAAAGCAUGGGGAGCAAACAGGAUCAGAUACCCCUGUAGUCCCUGUCUCUUAUACC
rnacentral:rRNA from 1 species